rnacentral:rRNA from 1 species
AUGCCGCCGCCGGCCCUCCCGUCGCCGCCGGCCUCGCGCCCCGCCUCUGUCCCCUUCCUCCCUCUCCCUUCCCCCGUCCAGAUGCUCCUCGCGCCGCCUCCCCGGGGGGUGGCCGGGGCGGAGCUCGAGAUCCUCUCUAGCGGGCCCCCUCCUCCCCCGUCUCCCCCACCGCCGCCGGUGCUGGCCCGGGUGGUACCAGCGGCGGCGGGCCUUCUCGUCCCCGCGCACGCGUGCUCCCUUCCCGGGGCAGGGAGGCGGCGGCGGUGCAGCCCGGCUUGGCUGCGGUCCGGCGGCCCGGCGGCGGCGGCCGUCGGCAGGCGUGGUGUCGGCGCCGCUCCUUGGCGGCGGGGCGAUGUGGUGGUGCCGGGAGGAGCGGCUCGGAUAUGGGGCGUCGGCGUCGACGGCGUGCCGGCAGCCGCGCGAGGACGGGAGCUUUACGGACCCAUGAGGGCUCGGCCGGGCCUGUGGGCCCACGGGCCUGGUGGGGUCCUCCCGCGUGCCGACGGUGCUGAUGCCCUAGUCCCGGCUCUGAUUCUUCGCCGCGCUGUCCUCACUUCGCGGUGCCGUGGUGAGACGGCAUGGGGGCCUCAUGACCGCGGUUGCGCAGGGUGGUGGUUGGUUUGGUGGCUGGAUCCGGAGUGCCCGAGGUGCGGGUUGGGAUCGAGGGAAACCCCUGUCGGCGUGGCCGACACCGGCGGUGGCGCCUGUGGGUGCCACCUGACCUUCCGGGAGGGUGUCGGGGGCUACCCUUCCUUUCGCCUCGUCAUGUACUGGGGAAAACCCUUGGCAGGAGCGUCGUCAUCGUCGCGAUCCUUCUUGGAGGUGUUGAUAGGUGCUCGCGCUUCAGAGUCUUGGGGCCUAGUGGAAGAUCCCGUUGUCUCAAAGCCCCCAUCUUUUCUGAGCCAUCCGGCUCUCUCGCCAGCGUCAUGGAGGCGAAAUGCCACCAUCGAAGAGUGGCUCAACGAGCUCUCCGCCGCCCCGGCCACGACAAAGAGGGUGCGCUCCUUGGUGUUGCUGAUGCUCUGGGAGAUUUGGCGAGUGCGAAAUGAUCGCAUCUUCCGGAAUGUUGAACUUUCACCUUCAUCAAUCCUCUUCCGGAGAGAGGACUGCCUGGGCGCUGGCAGGAGGUCGGCAUUUGAUGACGCGAGAUGUUAUAUGAUUUUUGUAGGAUGGUUCAAGUGUCUUUCCCCUGUGGACUACCCGAACGAUGCCCCAAACGUAUCCCCCAAAUCCAAUGCUUCUGUAUUCUUUUGCUACUUUGGCAUUGUACAAGCAAGGAAUAAAGAGAAAGAGAGACCUGGAUGGUCUUGCGCUAGCUCUAUAUAUCAGAGCUCAAUCAAGUUUUCACAAGUUCUUUCUCUUCUUUGCCGCCGGCGGCGUAUCAGAAACUGUGUACUGAGGUCAUCAAUCUGGCUAGCUUAUUUGGGAGCAGACUUGGUAGCCGCUUAUGUCCUAGGCCUCAUCACACGACAAGAGGUUUCCACUCAUCACCUGUUUUUUCUCUGGGCGCCCUUUCUCCUCAUACAUCUUGGUGGACAAGACACCAUCACUGCUUUUGCCAUCGAGGACAACAGUCUCUGGCGGAGGCAUUUGUUGAACCUUGUUGUCCAAGUGUCCCUUACCCUGUAUAUCUUUUGGAAGUCAUUCGACGGCGGUCCUAACAUGCAACUUCUUGCUCCUAGCAUCCUUUUGUUUGUCACUGGCACUAUCAAGUAUGGGGAGAGAACAUGGGCUUUGUGGUGUGGCAGCCUGACAAACAUCAGGGACUCGGAUGGUCAUGCUUCUGUUUCGGAAUUGCGCUUUGCUACCUCUUCUGACCCUGUUAUGUUUGCCUUGGUUUCAACAAAUGCUAUGCGUUGUUUUUUUACUGGCCUUAGGUUGCCCACUGACUUUUGGCAUAUAGGUAAUUUACGCCCAGACUUUUCAACCAAGUUAUUCUGGAUCAUGGAGAUUGAACUCAGCGUAAUGUUUGAUGAUAUCUAUACUAAGGCCCUGGUGCUUCGGACGUGGGGUUGCACCAUCCUUCGGUGCAUCUCGCAUCUUUCCUUCCUGGCUGCUUUUGUGCUAUUCUUUUAUGUAGUAAGAAACAAAGAGAGGCGGCAGUACAAUUUUGUUGACACUGCAAUUACCUAUGGUCUGUUUUUCGGUGGUUUCUCUCUUGAAGUUUCCUCAGUAUGUAUCAUCAUGAGGUCACCUGGGACUUGGGCAUGGCUAUGGAAAAAGACUCGGAAUUGUAGCUUCCUUGGCUCCGUUGUUAAAUGGUGUAUACGUACUAGGUGUCCAAGGAAAAGGUGGUCAAACUCCAUGGGUCAGUACAACAUCCUAGACUAUUUGGGGCAGUCAAGGAAACUGGUGAAUAUGUUUUUCAGGACGGGAGAGCAAAAGUUGUGGAUCAGUAAACUGCUGGACACCAAGUUUGUGCAGGUGGAUGAGCAGAUCAUGAGAUGCGUCGUCCGAAGGAUUGCUCAGUAUCGCCAUCGCCAAGAAGGUAGCCCCCAGGCCGGGCAAUUGGAAAAUCUUGGUCCGUUCCUACAGAAGAUUGUGAAGCGGCAUCAUUCCGGUUUUGAUUGUCCCUCCAUUAUCGGGCUCCAUUUAUUCACAGAGAUACUGUUGAGUAGGUAUGUACGCACUGGCACUGCUAUGGACAGUGAGUCUAGCGAUGCUUCGGUCCGUGUAUGCCGGAUGAUAUCCCAGUAUAUGCUUUAUCUUUUGCUCACGCACCCUAAAAUGCUGCCGACCAUCAGCAGCGAUAGCGGAGUAGACCAGUUAGUAGCAUCCCUCUAUGUAAUCUUCGGUGCGGAUAAUGACAUGAUGGUUCAGGCAGUUUCAGCAUUGGCUUUUAUCGAUAUGCCGGAGCCACCGGGGGAGUGCGCAGAGGCGCAUCUGUUGGAGCUCCAAGAGGCAUGGGUAGGUGUGCUCCUCCAUGCGGCCAGCAAGUCGCGGCCGGAGAUGCAUGCCACGCUGCUAGCCAAAGGAGGGGAGCUCCUCACCUUCAUCUGGCUGCUCAUGGCCCACUACGAGCUUGGGGAUGUGCAGGGCCGCCCCAUCGAGAUGACCGCUGAUGCACCUACUGUUCGGCGCCACUACGCCUUCUGUUUUCCACCUCAACCUCAAGCCUCAUAG